CUUUAUGUUUAUUGACUGUCACAUGACUGGUGAACAAUUUUAACGGUAAGACUUCUGGUAGCGUGCACGAGCACCAGGUCCUCCAAAUUUCUUGGAUUCACAACGGCGAGGAUCUGCAACCAGCAGAGUCCUGUCGUACUGGAUUAGGAUAUCCUUGAUCAAUGCUUUGGAAAUAGCUUGACGGAUAGCGUAGAUUUGCGCUACGUGGCCACCACCUUUCACACGGACUCUGAUGUCAACACCAGCAAAUCUCUCCUUCCCCAGCAGGAGGACAGGUUCAAGCAGUUUGUACUGCAAAGUCCUAGGCUCAAUCAUUUCCAGAGGUCUUCCAUUCACUUUAAUGAGGCCAUUCCCUCUUUUGCAGUGGGCAACAGCAGUCGCUGUUUUCUUCCGCCCGAAGACCUGGACGCUCUGCAGGGGACCCUUGGCCGGCAUGACUGCUCCCUACUCAGGCGGCGGCACCGCGAAAAGACCGAACGGGGUUUCCCAGCCUGUAUUCAGGGGCGGGCCAGCCGUAAAGCGCACCUUGUCUUCCGGGAGCGCGGCACUGCGUCCGGCCGUGCUUUACGACAGCGCUUUGCGGCAGCAAUCGGUGGGUUGAGACGGCCUCGCUCGGCGCUUCAGGGACGUGCGCCGGCCCUCAGCGUAGUUGUAGCAUCAGUCCUCUCCACCCUUUUGGUUUUGUUCUAUUACUCUUUUUUUAAGUCUUCUUUUCUCUCACGUGCGCUUCUUCCGGACUCGUGACUGGCGCUGUAGUGCUGGAUGAGCUUUUGUCGUGUAGCUCAUUCACGAGCAGAACCCAACUGGUUUUGUGUAGUAAACAGAAUCGCGUCGUUCCCUACAGGCUGUUGAUGGGGUUUACAGUCACUGAUGAGGCCUCCUUAGUGCUCAGUAGUACACUGAUUCAGUAGCAUUCAGGCAAUUCUGUAUACCCAUGCAAAUAGCCAGCAACCACUGUAUUUAAAAUCAAGGAGAUCUGCUUGAAUUCAGGGAUCCAGGUGCCCAGAACACUGUCAGCUUGACGUUUUAGCUAUGUUUUCCAUAUUCAGUGUGUCAUCAAACAUGGAUUUUUUUGUCAUUUUCAGGCUGUGAUAUUUUACUUCUAGAGUUUGGUAUUCGCUAUGCAGAAUUCUCCAGAAGUACAAAAGGAGAAGCCAUCAAGUAGGCAAGGUGAUGAUUCUUAGAGAUUUUAAACAAUAGAGAUUUAGAUUACUAUGAUUAAUGUGAAAGUUGACUGCUCAAAUGAAACAAUCAGUUCUUCUGUCUUUGGAUAGAAUUUUAAAUACUGAACAUGAGUCAUCAGUCAUGUGAGGGUUUAAAUGAGCACUUAGCUUUAUGCAAUUGGAGUGAUUAGUUCUAUUCAAGUGAAUAGUACUGUGCAGAGCAUGUAAGAUUUAGCACAUCUCAAACCCCUGAUUGUGCAAAGCCUCAACAUGUGACCUGAGAAGUGUUUGCUUUUGUUUUUUAAAGCUGUUUUCUAAGAAAUGGUGUUUAUGCAGUCACACACGUCUGUCAUCCACUCCUUCCCCAUCACCGGGGGAAGGGGAAUGGUAGCCAAUGUGUUGGCUACUUUCAGGUAGUUAUCCCAGGAGAAUGGGAAUUUGAAAAACAAUUUUGUUCGCACAUAUUUGGUGAAAAUAGGUGACUCUGUGUUAGAGAUAUUUUACUUGCAUAAUGAAAGCAGAUGCAGGGGCUGAAGUAUUGGGAAUCACAAAACCUACAUUCAGAUGAAAAGUAGAACAUAGUACCUACUUAACCCCAUCAAAAGAGUUCAGCCAGCACUUACAAUUGAGCCAAAGGUGAGCCACUAGCAGCUGAGGUUUGUUUGGUGUUCAGGAUGCUUUGAAAGGAAGAGAGAACAAAUCUAAAUCUGUUCCUUUUGUUGGUGUUAUCUGAGGUCUGCUAAUGAGGAACUGUGUAUUAACACCAAAUGCACUGUUAGUCAAAUGGCUGCUUGUGUGAAGCUUAUUUUUUGUAAGCGUUCUUUCUUGGCUCUUGCAUAAUUUAUCAUCAUUGGGAUAUUAGUCUGCUGUACAUUCUACUUAGAACUAAAAAACACUCACCCUAAAAGAACCUGUUUGUAAAGCUUGUAAUAUGCUUACGGAUAUAUAGCUUUCUGUUCGAAAAAUAAGAAAUUAAUCAGCAUAUAUUGAUAGCACAGUCUAGGGAAAAAAGAAGAAAAGAUAAAGGUUAAAUACUUUGUGCUGCUUGUUUUCUUUGCUUUCUGGCAUAAUAAUAGGAGCCACAGUGCAUUUAGCAAGUAGUUACUGCAGGAAUUAGAUUGUACUGUGGGAAGUGAGAAUUAGAUAAUAAAUAUCACUGUACUCAAAAGUACCAAGAAGAAAAGGGCAGAGUGAGGAGAAGAAAUCAGGCAAAAUACUAUACUUUUGAGAAAAAUCCAAGCACUACAGUAUCCCUACUUACUAAGCACAGAACAAUUCAAAAUAGUAACAUAUCUCUAACUUCAAAGAAACAAUAAUAUAUUAAGAACCUUCAAGUACCAUCUGCUGACUCUUGUUCUCUGUUCCCUUAUACUUCUGAAAUAAUUGCACCUGUGGAAUGUGAGGCACUUGUUUGGCAGCUUCUUUUACCUGACUUUGCACAGGUGUGGAGAGGUAUACAGUAUGCAGAACUCAAUAAUCAGAGCCACAGAAAUUAAAGUGUAUUCGCUGAUAAGCUACUUUCACCAGAAAGUGCAUUUCAAGAGAAAGUCAGAAGGCGUGAACACAUCUUGCCAAGGCAUUUUUAUUGUUUCCUAAUGGGAGGAAAAAUAUUUCGAUUUGGCUGCAGUCUAAGUCCUUGAUUUCACAGUGAUUCUACACUGUACUAACAGAUGAUAUCUUGUGUAUUUUUAUACCAACCAGUAUCCUACUGCUACUAAAUCUUUUACAUGGAAGUUUAGUGAGGGUUUAAGGAAUUGAAAAUCUCUUGAUGACUGACCUC
rnacentral:lncRNA from 1 species